rnacentral:rRNA from 1 species
UCGACACAGGUUGGUAGGUAGUGAAUAUUAAGGCGUAGAGAUAAUACUUGUAAAGGAACUCGGCAAGUUGUCUUCAUAAGCUAGACGAGAUGAAGAUCCAAUUAUAUAUUUUUUAUUUAGGUAAAUUUUAUAUAUAGGGUGGCACAGAAUCGGAGGCCCCGACUGUUUACUUAAAACACAGACAUUUGCAAGGAUUAAUUUCUUUGUAUAGGCGUUGAAUUUUGCCCGAUGCCAUUUAUAUAAGGUUAAUAGGCGGUUUGCGUUUUAAUUUUCUAAAAAUCUGGUCAAUGGCGGUGUUAUCCUGAGGAUCCUAAGGUAGCAAAAUUAAGUGUCCAUUAAAUGUGGUCCCGACUGAAUAAAGUAACGAUGGUCUCAGUGUCUCUACAAGUAUCUCAGUGAAAAGACUUAGCCGGAAGAUGCGCUGCUCCCCUUUCUUGCG